rnacentral:tRNA from 1 species
GCGGGCGUGGUGAAAUGGUAGACACGCUGGUCUUAGGAACCAGUUCCGCAAGAGUGCAGGUUCAAAUCCUGUCGCCCGCACCA